AGAAUGAAGAUGGCUUCCUGUCCCGCUAGCGUCACGUCGGGAUCUGCCUUCACCAAGGCCUUCACUCGCGCCAGAGGCAACCUCGAGAGACGAGCCCCAGGCACACUCGUUGGGGCCUGGGGCUGCGAGGCCGCUGCCUCCCCAGCAGGUCCCAGGCCUAAAGAGCAACCAUACUGUGGGACAUUCUCUUCUCAUGGCAGACAGCAGAAGAUCAAGAGGGACGAACCAAAAUAUGCCUUGUCUCAUAACCUUGUGCUUAGAACUGGCACUUUGUCGCUUCCACCCAUGUUCCACGGAUCAAAGCAACAAUUAAGGCCAAGCCCCACAUCAGUGGAGCAGGGGUGCACGUGUCCCUUCAGGGAGAAUGGGCCAUUAUAACUACAUUCUUAGAAUGUGAUCCCUUUCAACAUUUCCUGCACCUCUGCUUCUGCACACUACCACCAAAAGACAAGAAAGGCAAGGAGACGUGACUGGAGCAAGAAAAACAGUGUUUUUCACACAAGGAUGUCCACUCCUUGUUGGGAAUGGCUUAAGAUCGACCUGGGAAAGCAAAACAUCGCCAUAUCAUUUGGAGGAAAGGCACUGGUUGGAAGAGCCUGUUGGCGUGGCAAAGCCAAGGUCUUUAAAGUCCUCAGAGAAGGCAGGCAUAGCCACCACUGGAGGACUUCCUGAUAUGUGGUACAGAGACUGAUGAGGGCAUGGGGUGACAACCUUAGGUGCCAACAGCAAGGGGAUGGAUAUACAGGGUAAAGGAGGCUUGCUGCCAUCCUACGCCUUUGAACGCCACAAAUCAGAGAUGGUACCAUGGAGGAACAUGAACAGGUGAGAGCUGAGGCAUGGGUGCCCACACACAGCCCAAGCCCAGGUGCUAACAGUUGACCAUCAGUAGCCCAGUGCCCCGAAUUCAUCCUGCGCCUGAUUAUCACCCAAAAGCAGUGCAUCGGCACCAUUCUGGUGACUCAAUAUCACACAAUGGCACCAGCCAGCAGGAACAAUCCAAUUGCCAGGCUGCCCUCCUGCACAGAGCCCAAGCCACAGAGCCCUCAGAUAACUCCAUUGAUGCAAAUCUCAGAGUUCCUCAAGGAAACAGGUCAACCCUGCACAUGGAGUGGAGAUUCAGAAAGGCCCCAAAAAGGAAAAAAACAAGGAUCAGUGUCCAUGUAUGUCCCUGUAUGGGGCUGCCAUUUGUCCUAACCACCCUGGGGUCUGCCAUAGCUGAGCCAGCCCUACUGGAAGAGGAUAGUCAAAUAACCUCACUCGUAUUCUUUUGCCACUUACUGUGUUGCCCUAGCUUCCCUCCAGGGGAUCCUCAUUUUGUCCUAGGCUCAACCUUACCUUUGAUCACUUUAGGACUCAGGCACAAGAUUUCACAUUGCUGGGAAUCCAUUUUCAGUCUUUGAAAAGACACAGUGAUUCUUCAGGAAGUUUGUUAUCCCAAAGAUGCAACAGAGACAGAAUUUCCCAGCUUGAAGGGAUUUGAAACAUCCAUAAAGUUACAGAAAUUCAUAUCUGGAGGAGUCUUAACGGUCAUUCAGACCAACGCUUUCUCGGGUAUCUAUAACAUCCAAUGCCCUAGUUUCCCUGCUGUCUUUUUUGGCCACUCCUUUUCAAUCUCCUUUGCAGGCUACCCUUUACAGGGCUCAGUCUCCACACUCUUUUGUUCUAGAUUUUCCCCUGGUGACCUCACCGAGGCCUACAGCUUUAAAUACCAUCCAUAUGCUGAUAAUUCCCAAAUUUAUAUUUCCAGUCCCAAGCUCUCCACUGAGUUUCAGGCUCAUAUAUCCAAAUGUCUACUUCUUGCCUUCAGUAUACCUUACAAACCUCUCAAGUUUGACGUGCCUAGAACUGGACUCUGGAUUUUACCUUUUGCCCGUAUCAACAAGUUCCUCUCUUAGUCUUCCAAUCACAGAAAGGGCUCCACCAUCAAGAUGGACAUGAGCCUAAAACCCAAGAAUUCUUGUUUCCUGCCUUCCUUUCCUUCUCUCACAUUCAGUCUCCUGGUAGACUUGUUCAUUUACUUCCACCAUUUCUAUCUACUUCUUUUCAUCUCCAGUGCCAACAUUCUUGUCCAAGCCAUCACUCUCUCUCCCCAAACCACUCCAAUAGCAUCCUAACUGGUUUUCCCUACCCUUAUCUCACCUCAAUCCAUUCUCUGCAUAUUAGCUGGAGUGAUCCUUUCAAGAAGUGAAUACAAACCUUAAAUCUUUCAACAGCCCUCACUGCAUCCAGAAUAAAAUCCAAGCACCUAUAACUGCCUAAUAUGGCUUCUGUCCACAUCUAACCUCAAAUCUUACCUUCUGCCCUUGCUGUGCUCAAGCCUUUCUGGCCUUUCAUUUCCUUAAACACACCAAGCCUUUCCAGCAUCAGAGACUUUACAAUUCUUCCUGGAAUGCUCUUCCACUAAUUUCUUUAGGUCAUAGUUUGUGGUCAUUUGAAAACAUGUCCACAAAUUCUUUUCUAUCCUAAAAAAAGGGGGAAUCCAAUUCCCCUCCUCUUGAACAUGGACUAGCCUCAGUGGCUUGCUACUAAUGAAUUAAAUGGUAUAGAAGUGACUGUAACUUCUUAGACUAGGUGACCAAAGAUGGCACAGCCUCCACCUGGUUCUCUGUCUUGUGAGGCUCACCCUUGGAACCCAGCCAUCAUGCUGUGACAAAGCCAUGUACCACAUGCAGGUGUUUCGGGGAACAGACCUGUCAGAGGUCCUUGCCAACAGCCAACAUCAGUCAGCAUCAACCACUAGACAUGUAAGUGAGGAAGCCUCCAGAUGAUUCCAGUUCCCACCUUCAGCUGAUGUUAGGUGGAGCAGAGACAUGCUGUCCCCACCUGCCUAAACUGCAGAUUCAUGAGUAAUGUAAUUUCUGUCAUUGUUUUAAGCCAUUAAGUUUUGGGGCAGUUUGUCACACAGCAAUAGACAACUGGAACACAGCUCAUAUGCCCCUUCUCAGAACUGCCCUCCCUGAUCAUCCUAAGUGCCCAUUGGCAUUAUCCAUAACCUGAAAAUUAUUAUGAUUGAUCCUAAAGUCCAGCCUGGUGCCUGGCACGUAGGAGAUGCUCAGUGAAUAUUUGUGGAAUGAUUGAAUAAGGAAAUGAAUCCUCUUGUCACAUUUGAAGUUAUCAGUCAUCAAUAAAAUGGGGAUUUGUUUCAUCGUU
rnacentral:lncRNA from 1 species